AUUGAACGCUGGCGGCAUGCUUUACACAUGCAAGUCGAACGGUAACAGGGAGCUUGCUCCGCUGACGAGUGGCGAACGGGUGAGUAAUGCGUCGGAACGUGCCGAGCAGUGGGGGAUAACGCAUCGAAAGGUGUGCUAAUACCGCAUACGAACUGAGGUUGAAAGUGGGGGACCUUCGGGCCUCACGCUAUUCGAGCGGCCGACGUCUGAUUAGCUAGUUGGUGAGGUAAAGGCUCACCAAGGCGACGAUCAGUAGCGGGUCUGAGAGGAUGAUCCGCCACACUGGGACUGAGACACGGCCCAGACUCCUACGGGAGGCCGCAGUGGGGAAUUUUGGACAAUGGGCGCAAGCCUGAUCCAGCAAUGCCGCGUGCAGGAUGAAGGCCUUCGGGUUGUAAACUGCUUUUGUACGGAACGAAAAGCCCUGGGUUAAUACCCUGGGGUCAUGACGGUACCGUAAGAAUAAGCACCGGCUAACUACGUGCAGCAGCCGCCGUAACAC
rnacentral:rRNA from 1 species